rnacentral:sRNA from 1 species
ACACGUGUUUCGUGUUUCGGUGAGUGUGGCGGAGAUGGGGAGCCGGGACCCCGCCGAGCCGAUGUCGCUUGGAGAGGCGACGCAGAGUGGCGUCCGGCCUGCCGACCGCCAUGGCCUAUUGAAGCACAGUCGCGAGUUCUUGGACUUCUUCUGGGACAUUGCGAAGCCUGAGCAGGAGACGCGACUUGCGGCCACGGAGAAGCUGCUGGAGUAUCUGCGCGGCAGGCCGAAGGGGUCCGAGAUGAAAUAUGCCCUGAAGCGUCUAAUCACGGGACUUGGGGUCGGGCGAGAAACAGCCCGGCCCUGCUACAGUUUGGCCCUGGCACAGCUGUUACAGUCUUUUGAAGACCUCCCCUUGUGCAGCAUCCUGCAGCAGAUACAAGAAAAAUAUGACCUGCAUCAGGUGAAGAAGGCAAUGCUGAGACCUGCUCUCUUUGCAAACCUGUUUGGAGUGCUCGCCCUCUUUCAGUCAGGCCGGCUGGUGAAGGUAAGAGCUUUGGAGGGACUGGGGGAAUGUAGGCUGGCUUGGGAUGGGUGGGAGACAGUAGUUUGCCCUGCUCAUACCCUCUAUCCCUCUGUGGGGAUCAGGACCAGGAGGCACUGAUGAAGUCGGUGAAGCUGCUGCAGGCCCUGGCCCAGUACCAAAACCACUUGCAGGAGCAGCCCCGGAAGGCCCUGGUGGACAUCCUCUCCGAGGUCUCGAAGGCCACAUUGCAGGAGAUCCUGCCAGAGGUCCUCAAAGCUGACUUGAAUAUAAUACUCAGCUCCCCUGAACAGCUAGAGCUCUUCCUCCUGGCCCAGCAGAAGGUGCCCUCCAAGCUCAAGAAGCUGGUGGGAUCCGUGAACCUAUUCUCGGAUGAGAAUGUUCCCAGGCUGGUGAACGUGCUGAAGAUGGCCGCCUCCUCUGUGAAGAAGGACCGCAAGCUGCCCGCCAUCGCUCUGGACCUGCUCCGCCUGGCGCUCAAGGAAGACAAGUUCCCAC